ensembl:Mt_tRNA
AAGGCUUUAGCUUAGGUAAAGCGUCUGUUUUGCAUGCAGGAGAUGUGGGUUAAAAUCCCGUAAGUCUUA